GGAAUUACUGGGCGUAAAGCGAGCGUAGGUGGCUUGAUAAGUCAGAUGUGAAAGCCCCCGGGCUUAACCUGGGAACGGCAUCUGAUACUGUUAGGCUAGAGUAGGUGAGAGGAAGGUAGAAUUCCAGGUGUAGCGGUGAAAUGCGUAGAGAUCUGGAGGAAUACCGAUGGCGAAGGCAGCCUUCUGGCAUCAUACUGACACUGAGGUUCGAAAGCGUGGGUAGCAAACAGGAUUAGAUACCCUGGUAGUCCACGCCGUAAACGAUGUCUACUAGUCGUUGGGUCCCUUGAGGACUUAGUGACGCAGCUAACGCAAUAAGUAGACCGCCUGGGGAGUACGGCCGCAAGGUUAAAACUCAAAUGAAUUGACGGGGGCCCGCACNAGCGGUGGAGCAUGUGGUUUAAUUCGAUGCAACGCGAAGAACCUUACCUGGUCUUGACAUAUCUAGAAUCCUGCAGAGAUGCGGGAGUGCCUUCGGGAAUUAGAAUACAGGUGCUGCAUGGCNGUCGUCAGCUCGUGUCGUGAGAUGUUGGGUUAAGUCCCGCAACGAGCGCAACCCUUGUCCUUAGUUACCAGCGGUUUGGCCGGGAACUCUAAGGAUACUNCCAGUGACAAACUGGAGGAAGGCGGGGACGACGUCAAGUCAUCAUGGCCCUUACGACCAGGGCUACACACGUGCUACAAUGGUAGG
rnacentral:rRNA from 1 species